GAUGAAGAACGCAUCGAAAUGCGAUAAGUAAUGUGAAUUGCAGAAUUCAGUGAAUCAUCGAAUCUUUGAACGCACAUUGCGCCCGCCAGCAUUCUGGCGGGCAUGCCUGUUCGAGCGUCAUUUCAACCCCCGAGCCCCCCCGGGGGCCUCGGUGUUGGGGGACGGCACACCAGCCGCCCCCGAAAUGCAGUGGCGACCUCGCCGCAGCCUCCCCUGCGUAGUAGCACACACCUCGCACCGGAGCGCGGAGACGGUCACGCCGUAAAACGCCCAACUUCUUAGAGUUGACCUCGGAUCAGGUAGGAAUACCCGCUGAACUUAAGCAUAUCAAUAAGCGGAGGA
rnacentral:misc_RNA from 1 species